UUGAAGUAGAGGUUGCAUUUUAAAAGAGUAAUAUGUAGGAUGCGUCAGCAGCAGAAGAAUACAUAUGAAAGGGUGAAAUGCCGAAAGAGAAUUCAGGCUGAUAUGAGUUUUCUUGGGGAUAGGAUUAACAGUCCUAUAACUGUCAUCUUACCAGUGAAGAUGGAGGGCUACUUA
rnacentral:ncRNA from 1 species